rnacentral:rRNA from 1 species
GAGGAAUAUUGGUCAACGGACGAGAGUCUGAACCAGCCAAGUAGCGUGCAGGAUGACGGCCCUAUGGGUUGUAAACUGCUUUUGUAUGGGGAUAAAGUCAAUCACGUGUGAUUGUUUGCAGGUACCAUACGAAUAAGGACCGGCUAAUUCCGUGCCAGCAGCCGCGGUAAUACGGAAGGUCCGGGCGUUGUCCGGAUUUAUUGGGUUUAAAGGGAGCGUAGGCCGGAGAUUAAGUGUGUUGUGAAAUGUAGACGCUCAACGUCUGACUUGCAGCGCAUACUGGUUUCCUUGAGUACGCACAACGUUGGCGGAAUUCGUCGUGUAGCGGUGAAAUGCUUAGAUAUGACGAAGAACUCCGAUUGCGAAGGCAGCUGACGGGAGCGCAACUGACGCUUAAGCUCGAAGGUGCGGGUAUCGAACAGGAUUAGAUACCCUGGUAGUCCGCACAGUAAACGAUGGAUGCCCGCUGUUGGUACCUGGUAUCAGCGGCUAAGCGAAAGCAUUAAGCAUCCCACCUGGGGAGUACGCCGGCAACGGUG